AUCGCUUCUCGGCCUUUUGGCUAAGAUCAAGUGUAGUAUCUGGGUCAUCUAUGAAGACAAGGCGGGUGUUAGGAGCCUUGUCUGCAAUCUCU
rnacentral:snRNA from 1 species